rnacentral:snoRNA from 1 species
GUCUCCGUGAAGAGCUCUAGACCAGGAAGUGCCGUAUGACACUGUAAACAGCAGCUGCUUCUCUGCUGCUGCAAGUGUCCGCCCCAGUAGCAUAACCUUUGUGGUUUGCUCUGGGAUGGAAUACCAUUUGCACCGGCUUGAUUCAGCUGUGUGCGUGAUUUGAAACGGGUCUCUGAGGGGC